rnacentral:lncRNA from 1 species
GUAAGAUCAUAGCUUCAGGACCUAAGUAGCUCCUGGGGAUGGGAAAGAGAUGACUGACUGAGGUGGUUGAUGGGAUUCUUACAGCCCCUGUCAGGCUUCAAUUUGCAAAGCUCCAUAGUGGAUCCCUAAACCUCUCCACACAGGAAAUUGUGCAGGAGACUGGGGGAAAGGUGACGAGGCAGGUAUCAAAUAUUUUCUAGUUCUUUGCCGGAGGCCCUGGCCAGUGGGCAUACUUUAGAAUGAGGAUAAACGAAAAGAGCACCUCUUACCCAUGAUUAUGGUGGAUGGAGUCAAGACCAGGCAUGGACAAGAUGCCAGUGGAGAGUGCUGGAGGGUGAGAACCAUGGACACCUAAGUCAACAUGUCAUCAAAGCGAAAACAGCCUGAACCUGGAGUCAAAAGCCAAGUACUAAAUCAAAGGAUUAGCAAGAUAAAGAGAUCAAGCACAAGAAGGUUGGAAAUGGCUAGAGGGAACAUGGACUUGGUGAAGGCCAUUGCCAGUGGCCAAGUGGCUAUGUCCUGCAGCUGGACUGAAAGGAUAGGAUGCCAUAAGGUGCUUCUGGAAGUCCCUUAAAAGUCCUGCACAGAGGCUGGCUGCAGUGGCUCACACCUGUAAUCCUGGCACUUUGGGAGGCUGAGGUGGACGGAUUACCUGAGGUCAGGAGUUUGAGACCAGCCUGGCCAACAUGGUGAAACUCCAUCUCUACUAAAAAUACAAAAAUUAGCCAGGCGCAGUGGCAGGCACCUGUAAUCCCAGCUACUCGGGAGGCUGAGGCAGGAGAAUCGCUUGAACCCGGGAGGCGGAGGUUGCAGUGAACUGAGAUCGCACCACUGCACUCUAGCCUGGGUGACAGAGCAAGACUCCGUC